rnacentral:rRNA from 1 species
UUAGGCAUGCAAGUCGAACGGCAACCCCGAGUAUAGCAAUAUAUUUGGGGGGAUAGUGGCGAAAGGGCGAGCAACACGUGGGCAAUCUACCUCUAAGUUGGGGAUAACCCGCCGAAAGGCGGGCUAAUACCGAAUGUGGUGGUUCGUCGCAUGACGGAUUGACCAAAGGCGGGGACUUUAGGGCCUGCCGCUUGGAGAGGAGCCUGCGCCCCAUCAGCUAGUUGGUAGGGUAACGGCCUACCAAGGCUUACGGGUAGCUGGUCUGAGAGGAUGACCAGCCGCACUGGGACUGAGACACUGCCCAGACUCCUACGGGAGGCUGCAGUCGAGGAUCUUUUGCAAUGGGCGAAAGCCUGACAAAGCGACACUGCGUGGAGGACGAAGGCCUUCGGGUCGUAAACUCCUGUCAUUCGGAAAAACGAGCACCCAGCUAAUACCUGGGUGAAGUGAUGGUACCGGAAGAGGAAGCCACGGCCAACUCUGUGCCAGCAGCCGCGGUAAUACAGAGGUGGCGAGCGUUGUUCGGAUUUACUGGGCGUAAAGGGUGCGUAGGUGGUGUGGUGUGUCGGGCGUGAAAUCCCAUGGCUCAACCAUGGAACGCCGCCCGAAACUGCCAUGCUAGAGUGCAGGAGGGGAGAGCGGAAUUCUCGGUGUAGCGGUGAAAUGUGUUGAUAUCGAGAGGAACACCGGUGGCGAAGGCGGCUCUCUGGAAUGCUACUGACACUGAGGCACGAAAGAUGGGGGAGCAAACAGGAUUAGAUACCCUGGUAGUCCCAUCCCUAAACGGUGUGAACUUGGUGUGGGGAGAAUUGACCCUCCCCGUACCGGAGCUAACGCGUUAAGUUCACCGCCUGGGAAGUACGGUCGCAAGAUUAAAACUCAAAGAAAUUGACGGGGGCCCGCACAAGCGGAGGAGCAUGUGGCUCAAUUCGAUCCACGCGAAGAACCUUACCAGGGCUUGACAUGCAGGUGCAUUUUUGCCGAAAGGCAGAAAGCCUUCGAGGGUCCUGCACAGGUGCUGCAUGGCUGUCGUCAGUUCGUGCCGUGAGGUGUUGGGUUAAGUCCCGCAACGAACGCAACCCUUGUGUUUAGUUGCUAAUCCCGAUGAUAAGUCGGGAAGCACUCUAAACAGACUGCCCGUGUAAGCGGGAGGAAGGUGGGGAUGACGUCAAGUCAGUAUGGCCUUUAUGCCCUGGGCUGCACACGUGCUACAAUGGCAGGUACAGAAAGAAGCAAUACCGCGAGGUGGAGCAAAUCUCCAAAACCUGCCCCAGUUCAGAUUGAAGGCUGCAACUCGCCUUCAUGAAGUUGGAUUCGCUAGUAACGGCGCAUCAGCUACGGCGCCGUGAAUACGUUCCCGGGCCUUGUACACACCGCCCGUCACAUCAUGAAAGCCGUCUGCACCCCAAGUCGCUGUACCAACCUGCAAAGGAGGAAGGCGCCUAAGGUGUGGGUGGUGAUUGGGAUGAAGUCGUAACAAGGUA